AACGAACGCUGGCGGCGUGCCUAACACAUGCAAGUCGAACGCGAAAGGGGGCAACCCCCGGUAGCGUGGCAGACGGGUGAGUAACACGUGGGUAACCUACCCCGAGGUGGGGGAUAACCCUCCGAAAGGAGGGCUAAUACCGCAUGACAUCUCGAGGUCCUUGGAUCUCGAGCUCAAAGCUAGCCUCUGCUUGCAAGCUAGCGCCACGGGAGGGGCCCGCGCCCCAUUAGCUAGUUGGUGAGGUAACGGCUCACCAAGGCGACGAUGGGUAGCCGGCCUGAGAGGGCGAUCGGCCACACUGGAACUGAGACACGGUCCAGACUCCUACGGGAGGCAGCAGUGAGGAAUAUUGCGCAAUGGGCGAAAGCCUGACGCAGCGACGCCGCGUGGAGGACGAAGGUCUUCGGAUCGUAAACUCCUGUCGAGCGGGACGAAGCCGAGGCGGUGAACAGCCGUUUCGGUUGACGGUACCGCUAAAGGAAGCCCCGGCUAACUCCGUGCCAGCAGCCGCGGUAAUAC
rnacentral:rRNA from 1 species